GAGGGUAUAGCUCAGUGGUAGAGCACGUGCUCAGCAUGCAUGACGUCCUGGGUUCAAUCCCCGGUACCUCCA
rfam:Camelus ferus unplaced genomic scaffold scaffold1402, whole genome shotgun sequence.